rnacentral:tRNA from 2 species
GCGGGUGUGGCGGAACUGGCAGACGCGCAUGGUUGAGGGCCAUGUCUCAGCAAUGAGGUGGAGGUUCGAAUCCUCUCACCCGCA